UACGUAGGGUGCAAGCGUUGUCCGGAAUUAUUGGGCGUAAAGAGCUCGUAGGCGGUCUGUCGCGUCGGCUGUGAAAACCCGGAGCUCAACUCCGGGCCUGCAGUCGAUACGGGCAAACUGGAGUGUUGCAGGGGAGACUGGAAUUCCUGGUGUAGCGGUGAAAUGCGCAGAUAUCAGGAGGAACACCGGUGGCGAAGGCGGUUCUCUGGGCAUGACCUGACGCUGAGGAGCGAAAGUGUGGGGAGCGAACAGG
rnacentral:rRNA from 1 species